rnacentral:rRNA from 1 species
UACAGAGGUCCCAAGCGUUGUUCGGAUUCACUGGGCGUAAAGGGUAGGUAGGUGGUCUUAUUUGUCUGGGGUGAAAGCCUUGAGCUUAACUCAAGAAGUGCCCCAGAAACGGUAAGACUGGAGUCCUGGAGAGGGUCGUGGAAUUCCCGGUGUAGCGGUGAAAUGCGUAGAGAUCGGGAGGAACACCAGAGGCGAAGGCGGCGACCUGGACAGGCACUGACACUCAACUACGAAAGCGUGGGGAGCAAACAGG